rnacentral:rRNA from 1 species
AAAAUAACAAUGAUUUCCCUAGUAACGGCGAGUGAAGAGGAAAGAGCUCAAAGUUGGAACCUGUUUGGCCUAGCUAAACCGGAUUGUAGACUGUAGAAGUGUUUUCCAGGCAAGCCGAGUAAAUAAGUCCUUUGGAACAGGGCAUCAUAGAGGGUGAGAAUCCCGUCUUUGGCUUGAGCAUUUGCCUUUUGUGAUACGCUUUCAAAGAGUCAGGUUGUUUGGGAAUGCAGCCUAAAUUGGGUGGUAAAUCUCACCUAAAGCUAAAUAUUGGCGAGAAACCGAUAGCGAACAAGUACCGUGAGGGAAAGAUGAAAAGAACUUUGAAAAGAGAGUUAAACAGUAUGUGAAAUUGUUAAAAGGGAACCGUUUGGAGCCAGACUGGCUUGUCUGUAAUCAAUCUAGGCUUCGGCCUGGAUGCACUUGCAGGCUAUGCCUGCCAACGACAAUUUGACUUGAGGGAAAAAACUAGGGGAAAUGUGGCCCACUUGUGGGUGUUAUAGUCCCUUAGAAAAUACCUUGGGUUGGAUUGAGGAACGCAGCGAAUGCUUAUUUGCGAGUUUUCCAGGAAGGUUUUCUGAGGUACUACGGUCUCAAGGUUGAUCUUUUUGGUUAUACUUCUAUUCGCUUAGGUUGUUGGCUUAAUGACUCUAAAUGAC